rnacentral:rRNA from 1 species
AUACGUAGGGGGCGAGCGUUGUCCGGAAUGAUUGGGCGUAAAGGGCGCGUAGGCGGCCCGGUAAGUCUGGAGUGAAAGUCCUGUUUUUAAGAUGGGAAUUGCUUUGGAUACCGUCGGGCUUGAGUGCAGGAGAGGUAAGUGGAAUUCCCAGUGUAGCGGUGAAAUGCGUAGAGAUUGGGAGGAACACCAGUGGCGAAGGCGACUUACUGGACUGUAACUGACGCUGAGGCGCGAAAGCGUGGGGAGCAAACAGGAUUAGAUACCCGGGUAGUCCACGCCGUAAACGAUGAAUACUAGGUGUAGGGGGUAUCGUCUCCCUCUGUGCCGCAGUUAACACAAUAAGUAUUCCGCCUGGGGAGUACGGCCGCAAGGUUGAAACUCAAAGGAAUUGGCGGGG